UAAGCGCACAGCUUCGCAUGAAGCGGUGUGAAAAACUCUGGUGGUAUACGAUGUUCCGCGUCUGAUUAGCUAGUUGGUGGGGUAAUGGCCUACCAAGGCAACGAUCAGUAGCCGGCCUGAGAGGGUGAACGGCCACAUUGGGACUGAGACACGGCCCAAACUCCUACGGAAGGCAGCAG
rnacentral:rRNA from 1 species